rnacentral:lncRNA from 1 species
CGUGCAUUCAUCCUCCAUAAGGCAGAUCCAGUUCCUAAUGGUUUGCGAGCUUUGCCAGUUUUCUAUGCCUGCACAGUUGGAAUAAACCUCUUUUCCAUCAUGUAUACUGGAGCACCGUUGCUGGGCUUUGACAAACUUCCUCUGUGGGGUACCAUCCUCAUCUCGGUGGGAUGUGCAGUUUUCUGUGCCCUUAUCGUCUGGUUCUUUGUAUGUCCCAGGAUGAAGAGAAAAAUUGAACGCUGUGGUGGAGGAGAGAACAGUCUCAUUCAAACUUGGAGAUUUGGAGGAAGCUCCAGAGAGAGAGAGGCUUCCCAGCGUGGACUUGAAAGAGGAAACCAGCAUAGAUAGCACCGUGAAUGGUGCAGUGCAGUUGCCUAAUGGGAACCUUGUCCAGUUCAGUCAAGCCGUCAGCAACCAAAUAAACUCCAGUGGCCACUACCAGUAUCACACCGUGCAUAAGGAUUCCGGCCUGUACAAAGAGCUACUCCAUAAAUUACAUCUUGCCAAGGUGGGAGAUUGCAUGGGAGACUCCGGUGACAAACCCUUAAGGCGCAAUAAUAGCUAUACUUCCUAUACCAUGGCAA